AGCGAACGCUGGCGGCAGGCUUAACACAUGCAAGUCGAGCGGGCCCUUCGGGGUCAGCGGCGGACGGGUGAGUAACGCGUGGGAACGUGCCUUCUGGUCUGGAAUAACCCUGGGAAACUAGGGCUAAUACCGGAUACGCCCUUUUGGGGAAAGGUUUACUGCCGGAAGAUCGGCCCGCGUCUGAUUAGCUAGUUGGUGGGGUAACGGCCUACCAAGGCGACGAUCAGUAGCUGGUCUGAGAGGAUGAUCAGCCACACUGGGACUGAGACACGGCCCAGACUCCUACGGGAGGCAGCAGUGGGGAAUAUUGGACAAUGGGCGCAAGCCUGAUCCAGCCAUGCCGCGUGAGUGAUGAAGGCCUUAGGGUUGUAAAGCUCUUUUAUCCGGGAUGAUAAUGACGGUACCGGAGGAAUAAGCCCCGGCUAACUUCGUG
rnacentral:rRNA from 1 species